UAUGUGAUCGUCUCUCGCAUAUCAAUAAGCGGAGGAAAAGAAACUAACAAGGAUUCCCCUAGUAACGGUGAGUGAAGCGGGAAGAGCUCAAAUUUGAAAUCUUAAAGGGUUUCCCUUUACGAAUUGUAGUUUAAAGAAGUGUUUUCUGUUGAGGUUUUGGUAAAAGUUCUUUGGAAUAGGACAUCAUAGAGGGUGAGAAUCCCGUAUUUGACCUUUACUUUCAACUUUGUGAUACACUUUCAAAGAGUCGGAUUGUUUGGGAAUGCAGUCCAAAAUGGGUGGUAAAUUUCAUCUAAAGCUAAAUAUUGGCGAGAGACCGAUAGCGAACAAGUACCGUGAGGGAAAGAUGAAAAGAACUUUGAAAAGAGAGUUAAACAGUACGUGAAAUUGUCAAAAGGGAAGCGUUUGACACCAGUGUUGUUUUUCUGAAAAUCAAUUAAAGAACUGUUUAUGCUAAGCUGUUUAGACUUUAUCAGCUAACUGUUUAGUUUUGAGCUUUUCUUUAAUGCACUUUUCAGUUAACAAGUCAACAUCAAUUUCUUUUGCUGUAAAAAAGCUUGAGGAAGGUGGCUUGAGAUUCGUCUUAAGUGUUUAUAGCCUCUUGCCUAUGCAGUCGGAGAGAUUGAGGUCCGCAGCGUAGAUCCUUCGGGGCUAAAUGCAUUUGUGCUAAGUUAUAGCAUUUUAUAGACAACUUGUUGACUAUGAUUUGUCUUGUAGCUUACUCGCUUAUGUUAUUUUACCUACGCUUAGGAUGUUGACGCGCGUGUGUGCGUG
rnacentral:rRNA from 1 species